CACUGGCAUAGGCACAAGAAAAUAUAAUCACUCUGGGGAUACCUCUGCUCCUGGCUACGUGUUGGGUUUGAGAUCCUCCUGGGUGAGAAACACCAGGAAACAGCGGAACUGGUAAGGGCUACAGAUUAUAUUUUAAGGAUUAUGCUGGUUGUGGACUUUAUUGUCAGUAAGCUAAUUAGGUCCUCAGAAUUGAUACCUUGUGGCUCAAGUUUUUUUAAAUUAAAUUAAGAAAAGAAAUGGCCCAAUCACUAUCUCAGUUUUCUUCUCCUAUAUGAGCAUAAUGCGGAGGACACAAUGCAGACAAAGAAAUUAUAACCUCUGCAGCGCUGGCUCAUGGUUCUGGCAUGGAGUCGUUUUCAGUUCGCGGAAUUCUCUUGACUCUUGGCAGGCCUUUGAUUUAGAGUAUGUCUAGUCAGCUUUUUUCUGUACGUUCUCAUUUACAUACCAGGAUAUUUCUGCAUGAUGAUGACUUUUUCCUGCCUAAACAUUAGUCUGUCACUGAUAGAAUUCCUAUCAUGUAUUCCUCAAGGCUAGUAUAGAAAGUUAAUCCAUUCCACUCAAGAACAGUAAGAUCUGGUGAGUUCCAAGAAGGAGAAAGCACUUGGCCUAGUACAGAAGGCGCAGUGUUGAAACUCCAUUUUACAGAAGCUGACUGUCCUGGUUAAUGGAAAGCUAGACUUUGCUUUAUCGGUGAUUUCUUGAUUGGCUGUGGUUUUACUGCUUAACAGAACUUCCACCAAAACAUUCUGUUAUGGGAAUCAUAUGAGAGGAGAGACUCAGUCAGAGGUUGUGAUUUGGUAGAACCGCCAGUGAAAUUUUGGUUCAGGACCUCAAAACCACGGCAAAACUGAGAUCUGUUUUCUGAAAGACGUUAAGGUCUUGGCCUAACAUGAGCUCCCUCAGGCUAUAAAACAGUGGUAGGAAGGGCGGCUUCCUUACCCCAAGAGAGAGUCCAUUCUUUGCAUUUGCCAUAUACCCAACAUAAAACCAGAUUGUGGUCUUUGAAGCUGUCCCUGAAGUGACAGUGGAGAGAACCGGGCAGCCCAGAAGCCCCAGACAUGGAGAUUGAUCCUGCAAGAGAAGGGAGUUCAUCAUGGCGGAUGACCUAAAGCGAUUCAUGUAUAAAAUGUUGCCAAGUGUUGAAGGGCUCCAUGCUAUUGUUGUGUCAGAGUUGGAGUACCUAUUUUGAAGUGGCCAAUGAUAAUGCUCCAGAGCGUGUUUUGAGACCUGGUUUCUCAUCUAGUUUUGCCCUUGCAACAGACCAAAGGAGCAAACUUGGACUUUCAAAAAAUAAAAGUAUCAUCUGUUACUGUUACACCUACCAGGUGAUUCAAUUAAAUCAUUACCUUUGGUAGUGAGUUUCAUAGCCAGCAGCAAUGCCAAUACAGGACUAAUUGUCAGCCUAGAAAAGAAACGUACUCCAUUCUUUGAAGAAUUGAGACAAGUUGUGGAAGUUUCUUAAUCGGACAAUGGUUUCAAUGUGUACCUUAUCUUUAUUUUAACAACACAAUAUCGAUCCAGCAAUCUUUAGACCGCAGUACUUUUAUCCAUGUGCUCAAGAAAAGGCCCCUUUUUCCAACUUAUACUGAAGAGCAAGCAUAUAGAUAAAAUUUAUGGACAGAUCAAUUAUUGUAUUU